rnacentral:rRNA from 1 species
CCUACGGGGGGCAGCAGUGGGGAAUAUUGGACAAUGGGGGCAACCCUGAUCCAGCCAUGCCGCGUGUGUGAAGAAGGCCCUCGGGUUGUAAAGCACUUUCAGUGAGGAAGAACGCCUGGUGGUUAAUACCCAUCAGGAAAGACAUCACUCACAGAAGAAGCACCGGCUAACUCCGUGCCAGCAGCCGCGGUAAUACGGAGGGUGCGAGCGUUAAUCGGAAUUACUGGGCGUAAAGCGCGCGUAGGUGGCUUGAUAAGCCGGUUGUGAAAGCCCCGGGCUCAACCUGGGAACGGCAUCCGGAACUGUCAAGCUAGAGUGCAGGAGAGGAGGGUAGAAUUCCCGGUGUAGCGGUGAAAUGCGUAGAGAUCGGGAGGAAUACCAGUGGCGAAGGCGGCCUUCUGGACUGACAUUGACACUGAGGUGCGAAAGCGUGGGGAGCAAACAGGAUUAGAUACCCGUGUAGUC